rnacentral:rRNA from 1 species
CUGGUCCGCAUAGCCUUAUGUCCUGGGCUACACACGCGCUACAAUGGUCGGUACAAUAGGCAGCCAAGCCGUAAGGCGGAGCUAAUCCUAAAAACCGAUCUCAGUUCGGAUUGUGGGCUGCAACUCGCCCACAUGAAGCCGGAAUCGCUAGUAAUCGUGGAUCAGCAUGCCACGGUGAAUACGUUCCCGGGCCUU